CGGCAUGCUUUACACAUGCAAGUCGAACGGUAACAGGCCUUCGGGCGCUGACGAGUGGCGAACGGGUGAGUAAUGCAUCGGAACGUGCCCAGAGGUGGGGGAUAACGCAGCGAAAGCUGUGCUAAUACCGCAUAUUAUCUGAGGAUGAAAGCGGGGGACUAAGCAGCAAUGUUUGGCCUCGCGCCUUUGGAGCGGCCGAUGUCAGAUUAGGUAGUUGGUGGGGUAAAGGCCCACCAAGCCAACGAUCUGUAGCUGGUCUGAGAGGACGACCAGCCACACUGGGACUGAGACACGGUCCAGACUCCUACGGGAGGCAGCAGUGGGGAAUAUUGGACAAUGGGCGCAAGCCUGAUCCAGCCAUGCCGCGUGUGUGAAGAAGGCCUUAGGGUUGUAAAGCACUUUCAGCGAGGAGGAAGGGGUUGUAGUUAAUAGCUGCAAUCUUUGACGUUACUCGCAGAAGAAGCACCGGCUAACUCUGUG
rnacentral:rRNA from 1 species